GAUGUAAUAUCAACAUUGCAACCAGAAAACAUACCAUCUACAUUAGAUUAUAGAAAUUAUGCUAGAGAAAUGUCUAUACCUAGGUUGAUGACGCUGUGCAUCACACUCCAUCAAGGAAGAGAAGACCACAUGUCAUUUUAAAGAAAAUGAAACUUUCACCUCAUUGUGCAAGUCUUUAUCAUGAAUUUACCAAAUCACAAAAGCAGCUUAACUUUGAUUUAAGAGCUAAAAGUGCAUUUUCACAGAAAAUCAUUUAUAAAGCUUACAGAGAAAGUGAACCCUAUUGCAAAGAAAUUUUUGUGGAUGCAGAUUAAAUAGGCUUACAAUAAGUUUAAAACGAAAAUGAAAAAUAAAAUAAGAUAACAUGA